GAUGAACGCUGGCGGCGUGCCUAAUACAUGCAAGUAGAACGCUGAAGGAGGAGCUUGCUCUUCUGGAUGAGUUGCGAACGGGUGAGUAACGCUUAGGUAACCUGCCUGGUAGCGGGGGAUAACUAUUGGAAACGAUAGCUAAUACCGCAUGACAACACUUAUUGCAUGAUAACUGUUUAAAAGGGGCAACUGCUCCACUACCAGAUGGACCUGCGUUGUAUUAGCUAGUUGGUGAGGUAACGGCUCACCAAGGCGACGAUACAUAGCCGACCUGGGAGGGUGAUCGGCCACACUGGGACUGAGACACGGACCAGACUCCUACGGGAGGCAGCAGUAGGGAAGCUUAGGAAAUGGACGGAAGUCUGACCGAGCAACGGCGCGUGAGUGAAGAAGGUUUUCGGAUCGUAAAGCUCUGUUGUAAGAGAAGAACGAGUGUGAGAGUGGAAAGUUCACACUGUGACGGUAUCUUACCAGAAAGGGACGGCUAACUACGUG
rnacentral:rRNA from 1 species